rnacentral:misc_RNA from 1 species
CCGCUGAUUGGAUCACAAAGGGAAUCGUUGGAGACAAUCAUUGGCGGCGGUGGCUAUACUGCUGCUCCUCCUCCUGAAAUUGAGGAUUGCCCACCGCCUCCACCCCGUCCAGAACCCGUCUGUCCCCCACCACUGCAACCUCCACUACCCCCAUCACCUCCUCCUCCACGUCCACCCGAACCACCAAAGCUACCACCAAAUAUAUUAAGGGAUUAUGAUACAAUUCAGGAAUUCAGCAAGAAAAUUACUGUCGAUCCCGAGGGCAUAACAAGAUCAUGGAAAAGGGCGGACAAAAAUGUCUGUAGAUUUGCUGGAUUUCAAUGUGCUUACAGGCCUGACACUGGUGUGCUAUCUGUGGUGGCAGCAAACUUCAACGGUUGCAACUUUAGUGGCCCUAACUUUCAGUUAAAAGAUUUACUCGAUCAGUUGG